CCAAAUAUUUUCAAUAAUGUAGAUCAAGGCUAACAGAGCUUAUCGUCGAUUUGGAAGACGCAUCAUCGAAAACAACUCGGUAGCACGGAGCCCUCCGUGCUACCGAUAGUAUAGUAGCCGGACUAUAUAUAUAUAUAUAUAUAUAUAUAUAUAUAUAUUAGUUUUAUCUCUAUCUUUUGGGAAUCCUAACCCGUAUCCUAUAUAUUACGAACUCGUAGGCUUAUCUUGCGCUACACAAAAUUGACCCGUUGAAACACAAUCUUUGCCUUGUAUAUAUAUAUAUUGGAGGAGGUUGCAAGAGUUCAAUCUCAACCUGUGCCUACCUGAGAGAAAAACCUUAAUCUCUACCUCUGCUGCUUCGAUUUUCUCGCCAUUGAUCUUUUCGCUGAUUUUCACCGAGCUUUUUAAUAUUUUGCUGAACCUCCUAAAACUUGUUGGGUUCAUCUUGUGCCACAUUGAAAGCAUGCCGACGGAGCGGAACGUGGACGUUGUAUCACUAGAAGUGAUUGCCGAGAAGCCUUGCAAGUGGAGGGGCAAUCUCGCUUUUAGGACAUUACUCUACACAUCUCGAUUUACGGACCUUUUCUAAUCCUUUUCUUUACAGUAUUUACUAUUUGAUUUUUUUUCAAAAUUUUUCUAAAACUAGAAUUAAAUUUUUUUUUUGCUUUUGAAAAAAAAUUUUACUAAAUGAUCAGAAAAAUUUUCCAACGGUAGGAUGUACACUCCAAACAAGGGUGUAUAGGUAGACGUUUCCAAAAUAAAAAUAACUUUUCUAAAUUAAUUUAUAAAUUUAAUUAAUAAAAUAACUUGUAUUUGCAAAAAGUAAAUAUAAAUUUUAAAUUUUACACUUAUCUAGAACCGAAUUUAAAUUUUGAAAUCUAAAUUAAAAAUUUUAAAAUUUAAAUUUUGAUUUUAAUUUUUAAUAUUUAUAAUUUUCAAUUUGAAAUUUAAAAAUUAAAAUUUUAAGCUUAAAUUUAAAUUUUAAAUAAAUUUUUCAUAUUUUAUUAAAUGUAAAGAUAAAUUUUUAAUUUUAAUUUUGAAGUUUAAAUUUAACAUUUAGAAUUUUCAACUUGAAAUUUAAAAACUUUAAAUUUCAGUAGGGGAAUGGGUGGAAUCUCAAUAAGGCCGCAUGAGACUACGUGCGCAUUUAAUACCCAUUUAAUCUCAACCAUCAGUUCUAGAGUUGUAGAAUGUACAUUCAAACAGGGGUGUACAAAUAAAUAUUUUCUUUUAAAAUUUACAAAAUUAUCCGUGAAAUUACAUUUAGAAAAAAAAAAUGUAGAAAGCCUUUUAAACUUUAAUAAUUUUAUUAAAAAAAUAACUUUAAAUUUUAGACUCAUAUAUUUUAUUGAAUAAUUUAAUAGAUUGCUCACCUCAAUUAAAAUUAUUAAUUACAUAAUUUUUUUUGAUCGCUUGUGUCGCAUAUAAUUAUAUAAAGCCUUUAAAUCAAAAUUUUUAUUUUCCAUUAUAAAAUAAAUUUUAUUGAUAUGAACUCCGUCCCAAACCAAACGAAAAAAAAAAAAAAAAAAAUCUACUAAACUAUUUAAUAAGUUCAGAAAAAAAUUUUAUUAAAAUUAAAAAUUGGAAGUUUGUAACUUGUAAGCAUUAGUUUGUACUUUUCCGUUAAUUUUAUUCGAGUCCAGCAAAUCCGUCGACGACUUCGUGCAGCGCUUGCAGAAGCCGCAAUGUCAACACGCAACCCACACGACGACCGCAGCGUCUUCGCCGGCCUAGGCAGUCGUGCCCUGGAAGGAUGAGUCCUCCCCCUUCCAUCAAAAAUCAAAUCGCACAUCUUAACCGCACCUUACUCAGAUCCAACAGAAAGUUAGUUGAAGUUCUUAAUCCCCUUCUCUUUCUCUUUCUCUUUCUCUUUCUCUUUACUUUUAUAAAUAUUAAAGAUUUUAAGUUUUCAAGAUUGAUGAGCUGGUACGAUCUUCCCGCGGACGUACUGCAACUCAUCGCCGCCCGCAUAACUCUCCACGCCGACUACAUCCGAUUCCGCGCAGUCUGCUCCUCGUGGCGCGGCGCCGUCUCCAGCCGGCCGUGCCAUCUCCCCCCGCAGCUGCCCUUCCUGAUGCUGCCGGCACGAGGCGACCCCAGCGGCGGCUCCGGCGCGCGCAAUUUCUACAGCCUCACCGAGCACCGGACUUACCGCCUCGAAUUCCCCACCCACAAGCACUGCCUCGGCUCGUCCUACGGCUGGCUCGUCCUCCUCGGCCCCUCCACCGCGCUCUCCUUGCUCAACCCUUUCACCGGAUCCCAACUCCGCCUCCCGCCCGCCACCCAGAUUCCGCACCUCUCCGACACCGUCACCGCGGCCGACGUCAAGAGCCGCCUCUCCGAAUUCAGCGGCGAGCGCGCGAAGUCGACCUCCGCCGGCUUCUGGCAGCACUUGAUACGCAAGGCCAAGCUGUGCCGGCAGCGGUCGUCGUCGUCGUCAUCGUCGUCCAAGGAGCAGUGCGUCGUCGUCGUCGCCUUCCCGAAAGCCGGGCUGGCCUUCUGGCAGCGCGGGCGCAAAGCGUGGACGCACGCCGGACGAUACUGGCAGUUCGUCGACGUCGAGUUUUAUAAAGGAAAGCUCUACGCCAUCACCCGCGGAGGAAUUCUCAGCACCAUCGAGAUCGACACCUCAGUGAAAGAAACCGUCAUCAUCUCGUCGCCGCCGUUUUCGUACAACGGAUCAAGCUCCGUUUACCUAGCGGAGUCUGCGGAGGGCCUGCUCCUCGUGGUCAGGAAGUACGGCGAGAGCAUCGGCGACCGGAUUUUGAUCGUGGAGAGGGGAACGUCCAUGUCGUUGCCGGCUUCCGGAUUAGCGGGCUGCAAGGGGAACUGCAUUUACUUCACCGACGAAUACGACGUGUGCAGUGAAGGUCAGAUCACAGGAGGACUUGAUUUCGGUGUGUUUUGCUUGGAAGAUGGUAGUGUGCAGAGAUUGCCGUGUUAUCCGCAAGAUGCUGAAUCGCUGUGGCCGUUUCCUUCUUGGGUAACACCGAAUUUGUGGUAGUUAAUGGAAGCAUGAUUUGCGUUCCGCCAAGGGUUGUGCAGUGCAAUUUUUUUUUUAUGAAGUGCUAUUUGAGUAGUGUUAUGGAUAAAUGCUCAAUUAAUAUCCUGUUAUGAGCUUCAUUUGACAGCAGAACUAGAGUUUCAAAUUAAAGCUUUUAUUUAAUUUCAUGACUCAGUAUCCGAAUCAGUAUGAUUGAACCUUCUAUCUUAUUCAAUUAUUCACUAAUUUAGAAUGACUCUUAUUACGGUUUAUGAAACUCUCCUUAGUUACUUUGUAACUAGCUACUUUCACCCUUAGGCAGCGUUUGGUUAGGGAUAGGGAUAGGGAUAGGCCCUUAUCCCCCUCUUUAUACUCAAACGCUAAUUUUUUAUCCGAGAAUAGUAGUUCUCGGUUAUCCCCACCAACUCCUCCAUUUUCUAUAUAAAACUAUCUAAUAUUUUUCUUAUCCCCGGGAAGAACUCAAUUUUCAUCCAAACGCUAUUUUUCUUAUCCCCAUACUUGUACCUAUUUCUAUAAUAGCUAGUUCUUGCUUAUACCCGAACCAAACGAUACCUUAAAAUUUUCUUUCUUUUUUCCCUUUCCAUUUUUUUUUUCCCAUCAAUGUUUUCAUCAUGCAGUAGUCCUGUGGCGCUAUAAUCCCUCUACAAAAUAAGGCAUCGCAUUUCAUUCUGAACAAUCAAACACAUGCACGAAAUACAAACAUGAGUGAAUUUUUGUUCUGAAUUUUAUAUCCAGCUUAAAUUGCUCUUUCAAAAUAACUAUGUUUUACGUCAUAAGGCGUCGCAUUUUAUUCUAAACAAUGGAACACAUGCACAGAAUAUAAAGCUGAGUAAAAUUUUUAUACUAAAUUUUAUAUUCAGCUUAAAUUACUCUUUCAAAAUAAUUAUAUUUUAGUUUACAAGGCAACCAAUUUUUAUUCUAAACAACUAAUAUACAUGUACAAAAUUCUGAACAACUGUAUUUUACAUCCUAAAAUAGGAUACAGUAUUUCAUUAUAAACAAUGGCACAGAUACACCAAAAACAAAGUUAGAGUGAAAUUAUACUAGAUUUUACAUCCAGCUUUAAUUGAACUUUCAAAAUAACUUUAUUUUUUUACACUAUAACAACAUAUAUACACAUUUAUGAGCUAUGUUGAUUAAAAAAUAUUAAAAAAUAUCAUUCAAUCAAAAACCUUUAUUUGACAGUUAAAAUGAUUAUUUACAUUAUUUAAAGAGCUAUAAAGCAAAAGGCAGAGACAAAAAAGUUUCUAAUGUAGCAUUUUUGGAGUUUGUACAAUAAUUGGGGUCAAUAAUGAUCCAACGGAAUGUAGUUUUGGGCUUAAUUACAUGAGUAAUGCUACUAGCACACUUAUAUUGUUGAAAAAAUUAUCUCUAUUCUUUUAUUAUUUACACACUUAUAUUGUUGAAAAAAUUAUCUCUAUUCUUUUAUUAGUUACCUUUUAAAUAAUUUUAAAUGAAAAUAAUUAAACUUCUGUUUUGAAAAAUCAUAUGCAAGAAUUAACAAUUAAAUAAUAUAAAGAAGAAAAGAUUAAGAUGCAGCCUGUGAGUCAAGAUAUAUUAUAUACUGUCUUAGAAGCGAGAUUGUCUCUCCACGUGCAAGACUCCGGCAAUCGCUUCUAGUGAUACAAUAACUGCUGUCCAUUCCAUCGGCACGUCUUCAAGAUGGUGCAACUCAAACAAAAAAUGAUAUUUUAGAGGUAAGUAUAGAAAAAGAUUGGUAUAGGUCAAAGCAAAAGUACAAAUGGAAGAAGUAGCUAAUGAAACUCAGUUAACCCCUGUACCCAUCUACACCUUCUCUAUAUACAUAUAGGAGCCAAUCACACUUGCCUUCACCAAAGGCCAAUGCGAGGUAGGGUCCAACGGCUCUUUGCUCGGGUUAACCAUUGGACCUUAGCAAAUUAAGCAGUCUCGGGUUACCAAGGAGACCCUUUUAGGUAGCCCUUUGGACCAAACUUUAGGUAGAUUCAGAUAAAGUUAAGAUCUAAAAUCCCAAUAUGCAAAAUAAAAAAAUAAGGUGAAUUGAAUUGGGUAGCCAAGACCGCACGCGCCGCGCCGCGGCCCGACUCAAGCUCGUGCUAUGCGCGCGUGUGUAUUGUGGAAAGCACUAUUCUCAUUCUCAUCCAAGCAAUAAGCUUGAAGAUAAUGAAAAAUAAGAUGUGCAACAACAAGUCAUUACUUUCCGAUGUGAGACUUGUUGGCGAAAAAUCCAAAAUUUUCUAAUUACUAUUUUUAUUUUAUUUUUAAUUUAUUAAUUCUUUUAUUCUCAUUUUGUUAAUAUUUAUUAUUAUUAUUAUUUAUUGUUUUAAUUAAUAGGUUGGAACAUACGGCAUUAAGUGGGAUUAAUGAAGUGGAACGUUGGAGGCAUCCAAUGUUCCAUUCACACCCGCAUUUAUACUGCCUCCUGUCACGGACUUAACGGUUUUGUUUGCAAAGUCCGUGCGGCACCCGCCUUCCUGCUCGAAAAUGAGCAAGCCUACCUCUCUACUUACUAAGUCAGGAUCUCCUCGUCCUAAAACUAAGUACAAGAGAGAGAGAGAGAGAGGAAUGUCGUAUAUUGAUAGAAAUUGAAGUACAACUGAUUUCCUUCCUAAUGAGAAGGGGUGGAGGCCACAACUCUUUUAUAGGCCACUCACCACCCAGGCUACAAAUGAAAAUGCGCCAAGUGGCGCAUAACUACAAGGCAAAGAGAUAGGCUACGGUCUCCCAAGAGACUACAAUUAUGGCCCUCCUAAAAACUCUAAGGGUCUCUUGACUCUUCGGCAUCCACACCAUCAGUCUUGAGAUCCGCGUAGAAGCUUCUAGAACGCCCCAGCAAAACCUCCGACAGAACGCUCCUUCGGAGAAUGGCCCACUAUCAAGGAGAAGUCAACGAAAAAUAUUUUGUCCGUGACACUCCUCUACUAUUCAUGUAAUAUGAACCUAGUAGAGAAAAGUGGAAAAAAAAAAAGAGAAGAAUUUUCUUUUGUUUCUAUUUUAAUUUUAUUUCUUUUGAUUUCUUUUGCUAGCUGUUGAAAGUUUCUUCGUCAACCUCUUUUGUGCUCGUGCUCGUAGGAGAAGUUCCAGUCGUACCUUGGGAUGGUGUUUUCGGUUAAUCCCGCAUGUAGGAAGGAAAUACAUCUUAAGACAGUGCCUCGCGCGCUUCCAGAUCAACUAUUUACAAUAUAUUUGGAAUUUAGCGCUCAUUUAUAAGUACAUUUUUUAUUUUCAUCACAAAAUUAGUUAAAUUUUAAUUACAAUCGAAUUAUCGGUAUGGUAUUCCCUAACAUUCUAGUGGUUGAGGAUUCUGCUAUCAAACAUCUCGACCAAUUAAAACUCAUAGAGCCCUUCGAUGAGAAUGGUGUUGAUCAUGAUCGCGGUUAUAGUAGGGAACUUGUAGAUAGACGUGAUCGUGAGACUAAAAGGACGACGUGAUAUUACAUUUUGUAAAUUUUAAAUUGCAUGAAACUUUCUGUAUUAUUAAAAGACAUGGUCGAGAAACUAGGAGGAUGUGAUAUUAUAUUUUGUAAAUUUUAAAUUGAACAAAACUUUUUAUAUUAUUAAAAAACUUGCUCUAUUUUUUAAUAUUUUAUUAUGAUGAUAUAAUAUUGAUAUACUNCCAAAAAUCUAGUAUAAUAAAGCAACACAACAAAUCCAACACAAAAUCAGUACAAUAAUAUAACAUUUAACAUCAUCAAUAGUAUAUCAAUAUUAUAUUUUGUAAAUUUUAAAUUGAACAAAACUUUUUAUAUUAUUAAAAAACUUGCUCUAUUUUUUAAUAUUUUAUUAUGAUGAUAUAAUAUUGAUAUACUAUUGAUGAUGUUAAAUGUUAUAUUAUUGUACUGAUUUUGUGUUGGAUUUGUUGUGUUGCUUUAUUAUACUAGAUUUUUGGUGUUGAAGAGAAUGUUGCCUGAACUAAAGUUCUACUGAACAUAGUGAACCAUUCACCGUGUCUAAACAUAGUGAAUGGUUCUCCGUGUUUAAUAUAUUAUACUGCUUGAGUGCAAAGAUAGUAUAAAUAUUGAACACGAUAAACUAUUCACUGUAUCUGGACACGGUGAAUGGUUCACCGUAUCCAACUUAACCAGUCAUCCUGCUGACAUGGCACUCCCGUGAUAAGUAUAAGACCAAUAUUAUAAUAAUAAAUUUAAUAGGGCUAUUUGUGAAAAAAAAAAAUUUGAGGGAGCGAAAUGCAAAAAAGCCCAAACCAAAAAUAUUAAAAAGACAAUAAAACAAAACAGGAGACAGAGUGAUACCCAAGAGACUUAUCUUCUACCAUUUCCCACUAGUCAGCAACAGCUAUAGUUUCCAGGUGGUAGCAGCUAUUCCUUGCAAUAACAGCUACAGUUACAAUGACUAAACAAAGAAAAUUAUGAUCAAAAAGAGGACCCAACUUUAUUUCCACACAUUUUGACUAGUGCUGGGUAUUCUGUUCUAACGUUUAUAGCAACGACAUUACUAACAGUCCAAAAAAUGGCACGCCUACCUCAUUUGGAAAUUGGAACACAAAAAAAUUAAUAAUGCUAAUGUUACAUGUGGUUUUGUGCACGUGAGUACAAAAUUUCCUGUAGAAAGUCUAUAAAUAUAAUUAUAUCAAAGAAUAGAUUACUCAGCGCCCUUGUUAGCCUUGUAGGUGUUUAUGAGCUGCAUUUGUACAUCUUGGGAGACCGCCAAAUGCUCCAGGUAUUCCAUGGUGAACUCGCCUUUGCCCUGUCGGACAACAAAGAGUCGAAUUUAAUCAAGCCUCACAUAUACAGAAAAAGAAAGAAAGAAAAAACAGUAGGUAACAAUGAUAAUUUUGAUAGCGCAGGAAGAUGUCUAAAAGCACCGCUUAAAGAAACAGCUCUGCAGGUGAAUAAGAAUAUUAACGGGAUGUUUGGCCCUACUGAGCCCUAAAGUGAUUAUGGGCUCAGUAGAGUGCAACAAAUGUUGGGAAAUCUAAUUUUAUUUUCCAGAAUCAGAAAACUAAUUUUGAAGGCCUCAGAAUCAGAAAAUAACUGCUUCUUGAAAUGUGAUUUUGAUUUUGGACCCAAACUUCAAAUUUUUAUUUUAAUUUUAGAUUCAAAGUUUAAAUUUAAAUUUAAUUCUAAUUUUCAAAUUUAAAAUUUAGAUUUUAAAUUUUAAUCUCAAAUCUCAAAUCUCAAAGCUCAAAUUUUCAAUUUUCAAUUUUAAGAUAAAAUUUAAAUUUUGACAUUUUAGAUUUUAAAUUUUAAAUUUUAAAUUUAAAAAUUUAAAAGUUUAGAAUUUAAGAUUACAAGUUUUAAUCAUCAAACUACAAGUUUUAAAUUUUUAAAUUUUAAUUUUAAAUUUUAAAUAAGGUUAAUCUCAUACAAGUCCCUACAAAUAUAGUGAAUUGCAAAUAUAUUUCUAUAAAAUUCAACUUUCAUAUGUUGUCCCUACACAACUCCUAUUGUUUUCAAAUAUAUCCCUGCCAUUAGAAUCCGUUAGAAAACUUUGGUUAACCAUAAGUUAGAUGCUUAACCCUAGUUAGUUUAUAAGAUAACUCGACAUUUUGCCCCUCUUAUAUCAUACUGUUGUGGCUUUUGAAAAGACAUUCGUGAUGACAAAAAUGACAUUUCACUUAAAAUAUAAACAGUUUUAUAACGGUAAGAAACCAGAGGGACAUAUUUGAAAACAUUCGGACUAUUGCGGGAUCAACAUAUGAAAGUUGAACUUUGUAUGGAUAUAUUUGUCAUUCACUACAUUUGCAGGAACCAGUAUGCAUUUAACACAUUUAAAUAUUAAAAUUUAAAAUUCCAAAAUUUUAUAUUCUAAUUUUUAAUUUUUUAAAUUUUAAUUUAGAAAUUUUAUUUUAAAUUUGAAUUCAAGAUUUAAAUUUAGAUUUAAAUAUUCAAUUUUUAAAUUUUAAAUUUUUUAUGUUCUAAAUUAAAAUAUCAAAUUUUAAAUUUUGUACAAAUUUGAAAUUUAAAAAUUUUAAUUUUAAUUCUUUUAAUUUAAAUUUAAAUUUUAAAUUAUUUUAAAAAUAAAAUUUAGUAAAAAUAUUAAUAUAUGCAAACAUCAAAAAAAAAAAAUUUGCCAAACUGCUUUACAAAAUCACUUCAGAAAAGUCGCUUUUUAUCUAAACUCAGCCAAACGCUCUGCAGAGCUUUUAACCAAAAUCAAUUCUCCAAACCAAAAUCAAUUUUGCAGAAAUCACUAUUCUAGAAUCUAGGCCAAACGGAGCCUAACCUGGGUCAUGGAGCGAAGUGCCGUCGAGUAUCCAAACAUGUUGUUCAGUGGUACCUGACACCCGAAAUUAUUGCUCAAUUAAACAAUUAAAGAUGGAAGUAGGAAUAAUACAAGUUCCAAAUUUAAUAACUAGAUAUCAAACUCCAAUAAAUCAAUAUUGAUAAUAUAGCAAACAUAUGCGGUCAUCACUGAAUUGAAAAAAAAAAAAUUGAAUGCUACAAGAGAAAGAGUACAGCAUUUGCAUACUUGAGCAACGACGAUGGUGUCAUCACCAUCUUGGUCAUUUCCAACGAUCACACCUUUUCUCCUGUUUUUCAUGUACACAAAGAUAACGGUUAAUGUAUUCCUAAUCCAACAUAAAAGUAUAUGAUAAAAAUAUUUUUUAAUUAGAUAAUGAGCACUCACUUAUUAAUGUCACCAGUAACGGUGCCCUGAAAUUCUGUUGGUACUUUUAGUUCUACCUUCAUCACAGGUUCCAAUAUGACAGGCUUAGCUGCUGCAUAACACUACAGAAAAAAGGAAAUAACACAUGCUUAAAAAGCUUGUUUGUGUGAAUACUAAUUUUGAUUUGAUAUAUGUCUGUACCUUCCAUUUUGGAAAUGACAAAAAUGCCGAUCACGAUUAAAACAAGGGAAACCUCAAAUGACCCCCUUAUGCUUAAACAAACACAACUGCACUUUUCUAUUCUGCAGUUUCAUUUAUUGCACUUAACUACCUCAUUGUAUUUUCUGUUAUCAAAAUGACCUCCCAUUAGCAGUAGUUUAUAAACAGCAUGGAGAGGUCAUGGAUCCCUUCUCUUACCAUAUGUACUAUUCAGUUUGUUACGCCACUGGUCAUUUCUAACCUAUCAUUAAUGGGUGGGCGUUACAGCAUCACAGAACAAUAAACACAUGGUGAUCGAAUGCAACAAAGGAAACAACAGCAUAGUGGAUUUCUAAUGAACUAAACAACAAGGGGGGUUAUUUCAAGUUUCCCUUAAGAGAACAAAGAGAGAAAAUGGGACCAAUCCCAAAAACAUCAACCUGUCUGAAAGCAUAAAUGGCUGCCAACUUAAAAGCCAGUUCACUUGAAUCCACUGCAUGUGAUGCUCCAUCAGUCAAAACUACUCGAAGAUUUUCAACAGGAUGCCCAAUCAAUGAUCCCCUGCAUUUGUGGGUUAACAUGUUAAUAUCAGACAAGAAUUUAAAUCUACAGAGAUAAUGAAGCUAAUAAGCGAAAGUGGAUGAAGUUGUAACUUACGAGUUGCUAGCUUCUUUAAAGCCUUUCUCUAUAGCUGGGAUAAAAUUCGAAGGAAUUGCUUGACCUAUAAUCAUAUUCUCAAAUUCAAACUUCGUUGGAGAUCCCAUUGGAAGAGGUUCGAUAUAUCUGCAAAACAUAAAAGAAAGAGCUGAGAAACAUCUGAAAGCUACACAUACAACAUUUGAGGAUGAAAUAUUCCUUAGGCACCAGUUACAAGCCUGAUAAGUUAUCCAUUGAAUAGUACCUAAAUAUGAAAAUAGUUAGGGGCACUCUAUAUGCAUGACAAGACAGCAAUGUUUUGGAUUCGAGAUACCUAUCCUCACUACAAUCUUUCUUUUCCCCCAACUACCUAGUCCACUGAAGGGGUGGUUUAGUUUAUUACAUAAACCUUUCAAAAUAUAGGUGGUGAAGAAUUAGCAUGUUCCACAACAUUUCUGCUUUCUGCAAUUUUCUUUCAGUCUUUAAAGAUCCAAAAAGUUCUUCACACAUGAAACAAAAAAUAAUGUCAAAAUUUAAGACAUUUCAGACAUCAAAGAACAGAGUAUUUGUUGAGGUAGUACUUAAUAAUGUCAAUUAGCAACAUCCUAAACCAACUCCAAUAGAAGAAAGAAAUCAUAGAUUUUCAUAGAAAAACCAAGAAAAAGAACAGAUAAACAUCUAAGGGCCAAUUAUAUAUUUCAAGGUAGACAUGAUACAAGACACUAUUCGGACAUAAACAAAAAAUUGUUUGCGAGGGAAACAGAAAAAUUCCCAUCUUAUGAUUCACAAAAAUAAAAUAAAGAAAAAAGAAAAUUCAUCCGUCCUCCAUGAGACUUGUUUAUCCCCACUGACUAAUCCUCUAUAUUUACCCUAUCAUUAAAAAAACGAAGGCAAACUGGAAUCUUUUACUUCAAAUACAAGAACGGUGUUUUAUGGGAGAGUACUACCAUAUAGCUUUUCAUGAGUCAAGAAAUUUAAUUUACACAUGUGAUAUCCUCCCUUACAGAGCCACAUCCUUUGAAAACUGAAUCUUGCUCUAGUAACAAUGAUUGAUCAAAUGAACUAUAUUAGUCAACCAAAAGGCAAUCCUAACUUCAUUUGAUAAAAUAACACCAACAACCCAAGUUUGCUAAAAUAAGAAAUAAAAAAUUCAUUGAAGUUUCUUGCCUGGAGUGUUUAGACUCUCACUGUAUACUAGAGUGCAAUGAACCUCAUGACGGCCAAUACCAACCUCAAGAACUAACAAAUGAGUUUAACAUCCAAAAAUUACUAGUUACUGUUAUUUUAUGUGUUCAGUUCCAAACAAAAUCCUGACUAAAACAUUAUAAAUAUCUGACUUACAUAAAUCAAAUCUCAAUUUCAGCAGAAAAAAAUAUUACUACUCAGUUUGAUGGAAAUUCUAACUAAUUGUAGGUAAUAAUGUUAUCUUCUGCAGUUCACAGGUUUUUAAAACAUGUCUAACAUUCUGAGUGUUAUGUUUGAGUUUUCACAACUUCCUUUUCUAUUUUUUCUGCAAAUGAAUAUGCUGGAUACUACAAAUGGUUCAUUAAGAAAAAAAAAACGAGACUGAGUAAUCUAUAUUGAAUAAGUUAUCAAAGAAGAAACGACUCAUCCCCUAUUUCGAUGUUGGUGGGUAGGGACUCUAACCACAGCCAUUUACAUUCUCAGUCUUCUGAUUACUUUGCUUUUAUAGUAUGAAUAAAGGUCCUAAUGAAGUGAAACUUAUGUGUUAGUUGUGGAUAAUCCUCUCAUAUGCUGGAUUUUCCUCUCCUCUUCUUCUCCUCCCCUACCAUCCUCUACCCAUUCCUAAAUCUUUGUUGUUACCAAAACCAGCUAAUAAAUUGUAGUAUACGGAACUUUGGCAAUUUAUGAAACUUGAGUGUUGGAAUAGUAAUUGAAACUAUUUUACGACUGUUAAAGGAUUGUGGGGGGUUUCAGCAAGUCCCUGAAGCAAGUGGUCGAGAAAGGAAAAGUGCAUUGUAAAUGUACUAUUCAACUGUAAUGCUUCGAAUUGAUUAAUUGUGAAACCUGAGUAUGGAAUUGGUAUUGGGAGCUAAUAUACAUCUUUUAAAGAGUUGUGGUGAGGUUUCUGACAAGUUACAAGAGUGAUCGAAGCGCCAGAAGGUCAAAAGUGCAUUGCUCGUUAGAUGUGGAAAAGUGUGAAGUUUAAAUGUGAUAUUGGAAUUUGACUGAUUAUGAAGCCUGAUGAGUGGGAAUAAUAAUUGGAAUUAUUUUACAUUUUCUAAAGGGUUUAGAGACGUUGGUGAACCAGUUUGGAAGCAAAUAGGCCAUUGGAAGCGAGAAAGUGCAUUACUAUUGCUACUUUUGGCAUUUCUGCAUUGUGUACCGGUACAACAUUGAGGCUGUACCGGUAUAGAAAGCAUCAGCAACAGCAGCUGCGUGGCAGCAGCCCUGUUUUGGUCUUUUUGCUUCUUAAGCUUAUCUAUAAGCCGCCAGCUCGACCCCUGCCCUUCAGAUAAGGUUGCUGGGACCCUGAACCAAGGGUUUACACCUCUCUUACCUUCUCUCUCUAGAAAGGGUUCUCUCUCUAAGUGGAAUUAAGGGUUUUGGUCCAUUUUCCUCUCCUCUUUUGAUGCUGAUUGCUUUGGGAGGUCAAGGAGCUAUUACAGAAGUUGAAGCAAGUGUCUUUGGGUGGAUUUCGCAGCUCCCUUGCAGCAGGUAGCUGAGGGAAAGGUUACUAAGGUAACAACUUCAUUAAAUUGAGAUUUGAUGUGUUGGUGAUAGAGUUAAAGUGUGAUUUUGAGUUCUUGCAACCAGCAGGAGUGGGGAGAGCUGUGGAACUUUAAUUCGAAGCUAGAAGAAGGUACAAGCAAGCUGUGAGAAGGUAAUUGAGGGUUUAGACGCAUAAUUGAUGCUAUACAAGUUAUAAAUGUAAAGUAUGAAUGCUGAUUUUGGGAAGUUGUGCUCUCAGCAGCUGGAAUCUUCACUUUAGGCUGAGUAUUGCAAUCUUAUGAGCGGAUUUUGGAUGUAAAUUAACCAGAGGGAAGUGAGAAUUCAGGUUGGAAAUCUAUGUAAACUGAAUUCCAGCAUAUUCUAAGAAUUGCAUAGGUGUACUAACACUGUUUAAAUAGUAUUCACAGCAGGUUGCUAAAGGCUAUUGGAUUGUUCUUGGCUGAUAUUUAGGAGCUUUUGGAGGUUAAGGUGAGUACCUUAACCUGAACUAAAGCAGAAGUUCAAGCUGUAGCCAUGUGCAAGGUGAGAUAUUGUUAGAAUUAGAUGUUUCGGUAAUUGUUUCAAUGCAGUUUUCUAACUGGUUCGCAGUAGGUGCGAAGAUCACUUCGGGCUGAACAUUGAGACCCUUUUGGGCUGAAUUAAACUGAGUUUGAGAGUACUUCAACCUGAAUUAAGCAGAGGUUUAGCUUUAGUCUAAACCUAGGUGAGGAUUUAGUCCAUUUUCUAUUUUUACCAUUGGUAUAGUAAGUCAGCUCUUAGCUGAUUUUGGAUUUGAUGCUAGGGGAAUUGAAGGCUUCGGAUUUUCUGCGAAAGUAAGUUCGACAAGGAUCGUCAAGUAGAAGGUGGGUCGGACCUUCCCGAAAUGGGUGAAUUCCCUCUGUCUUCUUUGACAUUAUGAAUUGGAAUAGUGACAUAUUCACAUGCAUGUAUGGAUAUAUGAAUGUAUAGGGACAUGCAAUGAAUGCCGAAUAGAUCAUACAUGAUAAAACCUCUAUCUAUAUGAAAUUGCCUGGUGUAUAUAGACUGCUUGCUUGAUUAGCAUAUAGUUAUGUUAAAGUAUGAUUGUGUGGGCACUACGUAUAACCUAAGAACAUGACUUUUGGCCAAUUGGACAGCUGAAUGAAUGAUGUAUUGAGAUAAUGUAUCUUUGAACUAAAUUCCUCCAGUUGUACACGGUAGACAAGUUGAUUGAACUUUCAGCAUAUCAUAUAUGGUGAAACUACAUAAUUAUGUAAUGAUAUGGAAACUAUAUGAACCGUACAGUUAAAGAGGCUUCGUAUACAUAUACUGCCAAGGUGAUUAUUGUUAUCAUGGAAUGAUUUCUAGUGUUGGCUUAUAUGAUUUUGAUCUAGUUAUGUGGGUAGAACUGGUAUUGUAACACAGCAUGGUGUUAUGGUAUGAACAUAAUCUAGUGUAUAACUAGAGUUGAACAUGAUGACAUAUCUGUAUAAUCAAGUAGAUGUAAUUGCAUAGCAAUUGUUCUCUCCAAGUAGUGGAGGUUUACAUUGAACUACAAAAUAUGUGCCAUGAGUCUUUGAGUAUGACUUUAGUAAACCACUUUCCUUAUGUGUAAGGAGUAGUGAAAGGACUAUGAGUGAGUGACCAGGUGUAGCCUGAUAGAAUCACUAGUACGAUGUAAAGCUUAAACUUAUUAAGUUAUACUAGCUAUUGAUAGUAAAUUAUGUCAACAAGUAGUUGAUAGCAAUUUAUGAUUUGGUACUACAGUGUCGACCUUGGAUCGAGUCGAGAUCCCAUGAUGUCGUUGUGAUAUAGUACCAUGGAUUACAGCUUGCAUAUUAGACAGCCUUCGGGUGGGUCUUCAUAUUAGACAGCCUUCGGGUGGGUCUUCAUAUUAGACAGCCUUCGGGUGGGUCUCAUAUUAGAUAGCCUUUGGGUGGGUCUUCAUAUUAGACAACCUUCGGGUGGGUCUCAUAUUAGACAGCCUUCGGGUGGGUCUUCAUACCAGACAGCCUUCGGGUGGGUCUUCAUACCAGACAGCCUUCGGGUGGGUCUUCAUACCAGACAGCUUUCGGGUGGAUCUUACAAGAUUUAAACUUUUAGUUAAACAACAAGUGGGCAUUGACUAGAAUGGUGAACAAUGACAUCUUUACCAUUAAUAUGAAUGACAGAAUCUAUCAUAAUAAACUAGUACCUGCAACCUGUUGAUAUAUAUUUAUUUCUGAGCAAAUAGCAUGAUUGGUUUAUUUUCAUACCUGUUGCAGUUAUUUACUUAUUUAUUGCUAUUUACCCACACCACAGUUGACCUAGUGGUGUACUUCGCCACUCUCAGCGGCUUACCCACUGGGAACUAUUGUUUAAUAGUACUCAUGCCCUCUAUGUUGUUGUUUUUACAGAGCCUUCCACAGCGGGAAAGGCUAGGGUUUCUGCGAUGGGUCAACGGCUAGCUAGAGCCUUCUGGACGUUUACUAGACAACCUUUAUCAGUCUAUGUAGUUUAGUUUAUUGAUGUAUAUUAAGUUCAUGUACAUUGUACUUUGUUCUUAUCUAUUGUAAUAAGUUUUGGGUUGUAUAAGUUUAGACGUCUAAUUGUGCUCUGAUUACCUAGUUAAGUUAAGAUUCUAUUACUACAUUGUUGAUUCUCUUUGUAGACGCCUGGCGUAUACUUGAGUUAUGGUGUACACGGCGGGUCUGUGCACGCGACUGGUGAGCUUCCGCUGAAGUCCAGGGCGUGACAUAAAUCAACUUAUCAAAAAGAACAAAAUAGUUGGUAAAGUCAUCUCCCUGAGCCUAAUUUACGUAUUUUGCCAAAUAAAAACAUCCUCGAUGCAUAUAUAUAUAAAGGAGCAAUAGAUAUGAGAAAGAACUGCGGACAUUACACAAUCUAUCCUUACCCACAAACACGUCCAUAUUGACCUUGACCUCCUGAUUGCUUCUUGUGCAAGUAAUCAAAAUUUGCACGCUGGGUGACAGUUUCCCUAAAGUUAACACGUGGUCUUCCCACCUUCGCAUCAACCUUCAAUUCCACGUCAAAAAAAACGUAAAUAAAUAACAACUAUUGGAUAACAACUAAUCGAAUAAAGAAACAAGUAAAAAAACAAAAAAAAAAUUAAAAAAACACCAGAAUGCCCAUUCAGAAUGCUAAUUUUUAUUAGGGAUAAAUCAAGGAUUUAAGUGCCGUGGCGCGGGGUCGUGCUGAAAACUUGUGGGCACGGUACGUGCUGAGCCGUGUCGAUGCGUGCCAGUCAAAAAAAUUCUUGUGUGCCGAUACGUAAUAGCAUAAAAUAUUUAUUUUCUUUAACAACAAAAUAUUCUAACUAUUAGUAUGUCUUUUUAUCACAUCUUUUGAACUUUAUUGAGUAAAUAACUUACUAAUUUAAAGAAUAGAGGGUUUUGAGCUGUGCCAUCGGCACAGGAUCUAUAUCGUGCCAGUAUCUUGUUUGCACAGUACGGCACGGUGGAUACGACCCGUGCCGACGAGCACUUAAAACCUUGGGAUAAAUGUAAUGGAACCAUCUGAACUUUGUCUCAUGUGCAAAUAACCACCAAAACUCUGAAAGUUUAACAUUUGGCAUCUAAACUUUCCCACUUUUUUGCUGCAAAAAUCUAGUACUCAUGUAAGUAAAGACAAAUAUUUCAUCUGUUUAGAUUGACAAAAUGACCAAGGAGCAAUGGAGUACUCAUGUAAGUUAAAGACAAAUGAACCUUCUUGGUGCCAAAAUUCACUUUAGCAGUUAAAAAAGUUGAUUUUUAGCAUUAGAUUGUCCAAAAUCAAGUAUAGCAAUCUUGGUCAAUUUUUUACCAUUAAAGACCGACUUUGGAAUUGAGGCCCAUCUACAUUGCGGACGAAUGUCUUCACUAUUUACUAACCAAAUGGUAGAUGCUCUCCGCUCCAAACAAACAGUAAGUUUAGAAAGUCGGAUACAGCGAUAAGAAAGUUCGGAUGCCAAAUGUAAAAAUUUUGAAGUUCAGGUAGCUAUCUGUAAGCAAGCUGAAGUUUAGGUUGUUUCUAUGCAUUUACCAUGCUCUCCGCUCCAAACAGACAGUAAGUUUAGAAAGUCGGAUACAGCGAUAAGAAAGUUCGGAUGCCAAAUGUAAAAAUUUUGAAGUUCAGGUAGCUAUCUGCAAACAAGCUGAAGUUUAGGUGGUUUCUAUGCAUUUACCCUUCUUCUAAUUCACAAAGACACAGAAUACACAUGCAUAUGACAAUCCAAGCAGUAGGAAGAAAUUGGGAAAUGACUAAUAUUCCUUCACAACCUCUAUUUAGACUGUUACAAGAAAUAAGAAAUACAUCCAGUACCUUGUACUCCCUGCGAAUGCGUUCAACAUAAAUAUCCAAAUGAAGCUCCCCCAUCCCAGAGAUGAUUGUCUGCAAGAAGUGGAUGUUAUACAUAAUUUCAUACUUACGCAGAGGGUAGAAAAGGAUCUAGGAAGACAGGCAAAGAGUGUACCUGCCCACUCUCAACAUCCAGACCAACACGGAAAGUUGGAUCCUCUUUCUGGAAACGAUUUAGUGCUUUUGAAAACUGACAAUAAAAAGUAUGUCAUUAUGUGAUAUAGAUAACUCAGCAAAAACAAAAAAAUCACUUCGUAAUAAUAAUUAGUUUAAUAGAGAAGUGGAUAAGUAAAAGAUUACUUGUCCUCCAGAAUCUUUAGAUACAGGUGAAACAGCCAACGACAUCACUGGUUCAGGAACAUUCAUGGAAGUCAUGGUGUAUCUGACCGACCCAUCUGUAAAUGUAUCACCUGUUGGUACAAACAGAAUAAGCUUAGAGCACAAGUAAUACAAAAGAAGCACUUGGAAGCCUGAAAGAGCAGAAAGAAAUAUCAAAGUUGCUAACCUGAUGCACAAUCCACUCCAAACACAGCAACAAUUUGGCCAGCAUGAGCUUCUUGAAUGUCCUGCAUAAUGAUGAUCAGCUUACAGAUUUAGAUUCAUCAAAACAAGCUGGAAAGCAUAAAGUGCCAUAAAUUAGUAAAGAAAAAACCAUUAGAUCUAUAGAAAGCCAAAUAUAAACUAUUAAAGAGAAAUAAUAAAAAUUGUAUGCUGCAUGCAUACCUCCAUCUCAUCAGAAUGCAUCCUAACUAAACGAGGAACCUGCAGAGAAUGAUCACAAAUUAGGGAGUACAUAACCAACCUUUUAAAAAAA
rnacentral:lncRNA from 1 species